ACGCUCGACACCUACGGGAGGCAGCAGUUGGGAAUAUUGGACAAUGGAGGAAACUCUGAUCCAGUGACGCCGCGUGAAGGAAGAAGGUCUUCGGAUUGUAAACUUAUUUUGUCAGGGAAGAAAAAAUGACUGUACCUGAAGAAAAAGCACCGGCUAACUACGCGCCAGCAGCCGCGGUAAUCUGAGGCGGGCUGGCAAGGC
rnacentral:rRNA from 1 species